rnacentral:lncRNA from 1 species
ACAAAAGCCGCCAAGACCCGCUUUUCCAGCAGGCCCUUUGGGCAAAUCGAAGGAACGCAGCUGAAUUUUCCAAAUGGCCCUGGGAGCCCGAAGCGGUGGGAGCAACUAAAAGAGAAGGGGAAUAAGAGGCCUCCCGCCCCCUUCUACCGAAACCUCUGCCAAUAUCCAAGGAUUCGUCCUGGGAGACCGGGGCUGAGAUCAUUCGUAAAGGGAGGAAGGAAANNGAAAACCUACUUUUACUAUCAAGGCCCAAAGGGGAUAUUAAACAUUCACAUUCUUGCAGGGUUUCUCCCCUUAACCAGGGUAGAAACAUAAUCUGGAAAAGUCUGGAUACACCAAAAAGAAAAAGAAAGAAAAAAAAAAAAUACCAACAAUAGCAACUUAAAAAAAAAAAUAACAAACCAGUUGCCAUCAGCCCAAAGUGGUAGUAGCAGCAGCCGGCGCGUGUGAUCCACUUACUUGUCCGACUCUUGUGACAUGUUUGAUCCAAUGAACUCGCUCCCCUUUUCCUGGAGCCUCAGCCUCUGGUGAAACUGGACUUUCAAGUCUGUGCAGGUGAAGGUGUGUGAGAGCGCCCGAGAUGGCAGAACAAGAGCUACAGGUAAUUCUGCUUUUCCGUCCCCCCUCACCACUCUCGCUCGCUCGCCCGCUCGCGCCCUCACCUAGCCGGAAAGGUGGGAUAAGGGGGGGGCCCCCUCACAUGGGGCCCGAGCUCGGAGGCGGCCGGGCGGCGCGGAGUCCCUCCCGAAUGGUGGCAAUGGGCAGCCACAGAGCAGAAAGUGGCGGACUUGGGCGGCCACAGUUCAGUUCAGAUCAGUUCAGUCGCUCAGUCGUGUCCGACUCUUU